rnacentral:tRNA from 1 species
GCGAACGUAGCUCAGUUGGUUAGAGUGUCAGACUGUGAAUCUGAAUGUCGUGGGUUCGAUCCCCAUCGUUCGCCCCA